CCGAGGCAGAGGUUUGUAAGAGUUCUUGAACAGAUCUCCUCCCCACCCCCUGCUGUGUGGCCCGGAGCGAAAUCUUCAUUUUUACAUAUUAGGAUGUUGUGCUGCAUACUUAUAUUUUUUGAAAACAGGCACUGACGUAUAUCAUUUAGAAACGAUCCUGUGGUUUCUUAAACUUAGACUAGCUAUAAAUGUAGCAACGUGCCCAAGACAAACCAAAACCGAGUAAACCCCAUCACUGUGACCUUGAAUUUAUUUGGGAUAAAACAGACUGUGCCUUAAAACGACAAAGCAAAGCCCUGCAACCUGUAGCUGUGUUCUACUUCUCCGGGUUGCCUGGAGUCCCUUCUUUUAAGUUGUUGGAACAAAAGUUCUCAGUACCCAUCGGCCCACACUUACUUAGAGCUCACAUGGCUGCUGCUCCUGAGGCCACCCUUACUUUCCAGAGUUUUUUGUUGUUGUUUGUUUGUUUUUAUUUUAAUUUAAGAUUGGCUUAGUCUGGAUGUGUGCGAGAAAUUAGGUUUGGUUAAAGUUUCUGGGGGAAAAUAUUUUAGGGAUAGUCACAACACUUCUGUUUCUAAACUCACUGAAUACAGAAAAAUUAAUGACUGAAAUGUCUCUUUGCUCUGCUGAUAAUGAUCUUACCAGAGCUCCUUCCGAGACGUGUGCUGAGCGUUGAGGCAGACUGAGACAUGUUUAUAUUUCCAAAUGAGGGUCAUUUCCCAGUGACUCAGCUCAAAUGAAGGUAGUUUUUUUUUUUUCCCCAGCAUUACUAUUUCAUUUUUCUUGUUCCUUUUCCUGCCUUGUUAUUUUUAUGGUAUCAAGGGAGAAUUAGCUCCUCUUUUUAGUUUAAUUUAAAUUCUCACACUUUUAUGUGUUUAUUUAAAACAAUGAGUAUAACUUCCAUUAAAGUCCAAAUUAAUCAAUUUUAAGCAUAAUCACAGUCUUUGCCCAAAGAUGCCCACAUUUCUGGGAACUCGGUCUGUUGUUUAUUUUUACAUGUUCCUUUUGGGCAUACACUCAAUGUAUUUCCUCCAGGUUCACCUCCAUGACUAUUACAAUUUUAUAUUUAAAUAAGUCUUCUUAGAAACAUGUAGAAAUGACAGUAUGUCUCUUUUAAAGGCCCGGCCAGAUUGACAAGAAGUUGUGGAGGCAGUAGGUGAAUAAUGAGAUCAGUUUCUACCUUGCGGUUAAGCGUGUAGAGCACACACUCCUCGUGGCUGCUGAGGGAGACUGUGUACAGCGAUCAUUUAUUUGUACACUGGUUAAGUUCCCAUCCAGAAAGUGUCGUGUGGUACCAAUGCGCCGUGCAGGGAGCCUGUCCUGAAGUGACCGCUGAGAACAGCCUCAGCACGGCUCUCCCUCUCUUAGCCUGCAUGCUGUUCCCCAGUGCGGUGUACCACGUGCAGGGCACUGAACACACGUGCGUGUAGUUUCCUGUGUAUUUUUGGUAUCGUGUAAUUAACACUGUUACAUUUAACUGGUUGUGAUUUGGGGGAAAGUGCUACUUAUUCUACUUCGUGGAGUAUUGUGAAUGUUUUUACCUGUGUUUCAGCAUUAUGAUGUGGCUUUAUUAUGUGAAUAUUUGCCUUCAGUCUCCGCUCAGGUACUAACGUGUAGCGACUUUUGGUGCUUUGUUUUUAAUUUGUCAUAAUCUGGUGUUCUUUAUGUUCAAAAAUAAAUUUGGUGAAUAAGCACA
rnacentral:lncRNA from 1 species